AUAUUUAAUUCGUCAACUUUUUAAAGCUAAUUUGAGACCUUGUCACAUUGCUAAAUCAAUGUAAAAACUCUUAAAACAUAUAAUUCUUAUCAGUGUUUUGGAAUUUCUUUUUUUACAGUACAUUGGUCUCCUAUUACGUAGUUAUUGUUAAAAACUUAGUACAUACCAUGGGUACUUUAUAAAAUUUAUUAAUUUUUUUUCAAACAGUGGCUGAGCAGGAGGAGGAAGGCAAAUCCAAUGGAGGAUUGUAUUUUUUAUAUAAAUUGUUACCUUGAUAAAGAUGGACUGGAAGUCAGAUCUAUCAAUCAGUUAAAUGGCAAUGGAGGAGUGUUCACAUCAAUUGAAUUCUGCAAAAGAGAUUUCCUUGUGGAGUAUGUCUUUGAAAGGCUGGCAAAAAGGAAGCUGUGGAAAGGGAAAAAUUCCAUAGACAAGAAUGUGGGGUCCUAGCUGGAUUUUUUUCCCCUUUUAGUGGAAAAGCAGAAUGACGACAACUGCAAUAUGGAGACAAAGCAACAUAUGGCUGCAUACCAUCAACGUCAGAAAGAAGACAGAGCAUCGACCUGACAGAAGACAGCAUUAACAACUAGACGAAGAGUCUGAAUCAGCUGAAUCUAGUGAUAGUG